rnacentral:misc_RNA from 1 species
UGAUUCUCCAAAAGCAAUAAUAAUAAUAAUUUGCUAUUUAAAAAGUAGUUGUAUCAAACUUUAGGGAUAUCCUUUCAAUUUCCAUCCUCAUCAUCACCAACCAUUCACCACCCACUCCCACCUAUGUCCUUAUUUUAAUUUUUAGGCCAAGACCAAACAAAACCAAGAAAGGAUCGACCAAAAAAUUCAUCACCCCCCAUGGCUUCGUUAUCCCUAAUCUCACCUCACUCUCCUUCUUCUUCUUCUUCUUCUAUUUUUAGUUUUUCCUUUUUAAUAAGUAAACAUGACACACAAUAUCCACCAAUUGCAGUAGUAACAACAAAACUUGCACAAUACGUUUUGCUGUCCACUUCUUCCUGAGGGUACUCUAUCAAAAGAAUUCUUAACAUGACCAUUUUACUUUUAAUGAUUAACCAGGCAAUGAUUGAAUCCAUUUUUUACAGUUAAUAUUUGUUUCUCACAUUUGCAUUUUCAGGGACAUGCUCAAGUUCAAAUACAUUGUUAAUAUUCAAAGGCUAGAAGAAGGUAAAUAAACCCCCUUCCACCCCAUUCUCAGAGCCUUAGAGAUAUAAACGGUCUAUAUCCAGCAAACAGAGAGAAGGGAAAAUGUGGUGGAACUUAGUGUUUCAUUGUUUGCUCGAGGGCAAAAUUGAAAUUAUAGGUUCUGUCUAUUUUCUUUCUCCUUUUCUGAGAAGAACAUUUUGAUAAUUCUUAUAGUUCUUCACCAUGAGUGUUCAUCUUCCCAACAUACUCAUGAAAUCAGUGACCAUCCACGAAAUCACAUUUGUAGAGGAUAAUGACAACAAUAAUGAACAUAACAAUAUCCAAAACAAUCAUAUGACAUAUCUAGGUUAGAGCAGACCAUUAUUCUACUUAUGCCAUUUCUCAUCAGAUGUAGCUCCUCAAUCAUUGGCAAUAAAUGAUUAAGUUCUUCAACCUGUGUCCAAUUUAUGCCAGUAUUGUUUAAAACUAAGAUACGGAUGUUUUUCAGUUG